rnacentral:rRNA from 1 species
UACGGAGGGGGCUAGCGUUGUUCGGAAUUACUGGGCGUAAAGCGCGCGUAGGCGGCUUUGUAAGUUAGAGGUGAAAGCCCGGGGCUCAACCCCGGAACUGCCUUUAAAACUGCAUCGCUUGAAUCCGGGAGAGGUGAGUGGAAUUCCGAGUGUAGAGGUGAAAUUCGUAGAUAUUCGGAAGAACACCAGUGGCGAAGGCGGCUCACUGGACCGGCAUUGACGCUGAGGUGCGAAAGCGUGGGGAGCAAACAGG